GGCUCAGCUCCUGACCUUACGGGGCAAAGCCUGGUGGGGAGACACACGGCAAACAGGAAAUAGAAACACAAACCGUAUACCACGGCGGUGGCCCAGGCCCCGUGCAGUCUCUGCCGCCGUCGAGGGGAGGAGCAGGGAACACGGGCAGGAGGUCGAGCCUACUUCCCAGAAGAGGCCCCGCAGCUCUUCCCGAGCAAACAGAAUGCAGAGAAGCCAGCGUUCCCAAGUUCAAGGCCAAGGCAGGGCGGAGGUCCCCGCAGAGGGAACUUCCUCAGGCCAAGGACCAGCAAAAUCUGGACGAAUCUGCCUGGAAGCUGAUUUCCCUGGUUUCUGUCCCAGAGGUCAGCUCUGUAUCCCCACUCUGAUCCCAAUACAACAAAACGGGAUAGAUGAAUUCCCCUGAUGUUCUAGGCGCAGGCAAGUGUUUUCCACGGUAUGAACCUCUCUUUCCCACAGACUUGAUCUCACAAACUUCCCCCUUUCAGAGACAAGUGGUUUAUGAAGCUAAUUCAUACUAAUAUGUGAACAACUGCCUGCUGACUUUCACCUGCCCUGUGUAUUUGACUAUGAACUCCUGGAGCACAGAGACUGUUUUAUUCCUCUUCAUGGUUGCAGUGCCAAGUACAAGGCUUGGUACAGAGUUGGUGUUGUGUGGAUAAUCAUAAAGAAGACAGGAAUAAUAAAUCAUAACAGCCAACAAUUACUAAAUGUUUUCUAAAUGCCACACAAUCAGGAAGUCCCCAAAUCCCAAUCAGAGUGAUUCGGGAGAGGACCGGAAGAUGUCAAUGGAUGUGGUUUUCCUUCCUACCUUCUCCUGCUCCCACCUGUCUAGUGAAAAUAUAGGAGCCCCUGGGAUGCCCAGCUUCAGGGCGGGCCUGGAGAAGACUCAGGGAAGCCAAGCCUUUGCUGGAGGGCAGGGAGCCUCACUUUGGGAUCUCUUGAAGCCCCUAUUUUUCAGAGGUCCCCUGUUUGCCCUUCUCAUGGCUCACGGCUCCUCAGCGAGCGGGCUUACUCUGCACAGGUGUUCGUCUCUCCCAUCAGACGGCGCAUUCCACAAGACCAGGAUCUGUAGUUCUGCAGGGGGUCCCCAGGCAGGAACACAGGGCCUGCUGCUAUUUGUUGGGAGCUGGCCCUGAAGCCCAGUGGUCCCUCCCAAAUCCAGCCCUCUCUGCAGCCUCAAAGCUGGGAGGAAGAUCAUAGCCAGGAUGGCCUUCGCCUAGACUUCUCGUUGAAAGCGAAGCCCUCAGAGAAGAGACACAGCUGCAGGACACGUGUACCUGCAGAGACUGCCACCAGCCACUCGCCACAGCCUCCAUGCUCAUCUCCAUCACCCGGGUCCUGGCUCCCCUCCUCCAGGAAGCCCUCCCUGGUGAGCCCCACCCACAUGCCCUGUUAUACUGCUCGCUUGGGUUCCAGGAAGCUCGGGGCGAUCACAGCUCUGGGGAGAAGACCAGAGAGCAAGACUCAGGCAUCUCUAGAGUUCAGAACUGGACUUUCAGUUCCAGAUCAUGGUUUCUGUCCUCUUCUUCCCUCUUCUUUUUACGAAGAGACUCUCUCAGUCAUCCUUGCUUUUCUUUUUCUCCCUUCUUGUCUCUUCUUGCCUUAUUCCCUUCUUCCUUCCAUCUCCCCCUCAUUUUCUUCCUUCACUCCAGCACUGUUUCACGGAAGACUUGAGGCCACUUUUGCCUUCAGCCCACCUCCAGACCGCUGGGCGUUCAGACCGGCCCGAGGUCUGCUCACUGGGUUGCGUAGCACAGCGCCAGCCUAGGGUGCUGUGGGCCUUCCUCUGGGCUGAGUGUCGGGGCAGGGUGGCCUCGCCGAUACACCCAGUAGCCCCACCCUCAUCAGCCACCCUGCUGGGCCAGCACUGGAAGCAAGACACCGCCCCCCCCACCUCCCGCCACACACACACACAACUUCCUCGCUGCAAGCACAGGAAGGAGUCCGGGGGCCGAGGACAGAGCCCUGGAGUAGGCGUCUCAAGACUGCAGUCCCUGAGUGCGUGGCCCCAGCGGUAUCCCCAGGCACAGCUUGCAUCCAGCAAAUGCUUGUUGAGUGACUGAAUGAAAGCCGCAGACUGAAGUCCUGGCUGGCUGCCUCAUUUCAGGGACACCCCUUCACCUCUCUGAGCCUCAGGACCCUUGGUUAAAAUGAGGAGGAAUUGCCCAACUCUGUCCACCCCCUCGAGGCAGCUGGGAGGAGCAGGUGUGAUGGGGCCUCCAGCAGUAAAGCCCAGGCUGGCAGGCUGUGUGGGUGAUGGUGGCCUGUGCGGGGCCCCUUCUUUGGGGCUGGAAGGGGCUCGAAUGCUCUGGGCUGAGCGAUCCUGAGGAAGUGAUCUGAGGAGCAUGAGAGAACUUAAAGGUUCUGCGAGGGGGCCCCGCCUUCCUCCCCGGCGGAAUCCUAGCAGGGUCUGCCCACCAUGCCCCAGCCAUUCUUCAGCACCAAGCCUCCCUCUGCCCCGGCCCGCCCAGCGCAGGCAGCCCAGUGCCACCAGGCGGGUCCUUAUGAACUGGGCUUUCAAGGGGAGCUGGUCUAAGGAGAGACUGAGCCAGCAGCUUCCGGGGUGGGCAGGGGCUGCCUGGUGCCUCCGCCCGGGACUCAGAGCCGCUCAGCUCUGCCGUUUGCCAGCUGUAUGGCCUUGGACCAGUCGCUUCACCUCUCUGAGCCGCCCCUGGCUCAUUUCCCGCGUGGCAAGUACCCUUGCCUUGGCAGCUGAGUCAUGAGAGUCCUCAGAAGAGGAAGGGGAACCUGGCAGGCAGAGGCGCUGGGUGAUGGUGGGCGUCUGCUUGGCUCUGGGGGAGCCCAUCCACGCGCCACUCCCCCUACCCCCACCCCCCGCCGCUCUUCCGGCCCAGUUCAGCCAGAUGGUGGGAGCGGGGAAAUGCCGCGGAGCUGCAGCUCCUGGUCUAUUUUGAGAAGCCUCCUGUUUCCUCUGCUGCCUGGGGCCAUGUGGUGACUGCAGGUCUCUGCUCCCGGGAGGGGCUCGGAGCCGGACCUUGUCCUUCCUCGGUGCCUCACACCCAGCCCUCUCCUCCCACGUGGCCUGAACCCCACCGUCCUGACUCCCAGCUCAGGCAGCACAGCUUCAGCCGGGAGGGGCAGAGGUCAGGUGCCCAAAGAGGGCUUUGCGGUGGGGGCUGGUCACUUGUUGGCAAUAUGGAGAAAGUGGGGAGCUGGGGUUGGCCCCCCCCCUCCAUUGUCCGGGCUCAGCCCCUGCCUGCCCAGGCCCCUGCUUCUGCAAGCCUGCACCCCCUCCCCCACCAUGGCCGUCAGCAUCCUCGGGUCCCCAGCAGCAGUCAUCACUGCUGGGGUUGAGCGCUGGGUGGAGUCAUCUGUAUUCCCAUAUGCGGCUUCCUCCUGAGUGACCUCAGAGGCCCGCAGAGAAACACAGCCCCCCAGAACGCUGACCUGGCCAGGAGGCCGGACAGUCCCCUGGCUUGCUGCCUGGCUGGUCUUAAUUGCCCCACUCACCCCGUCAGAAACCUGGGAGCCGCCCUUGCCUCCUCUCCUGCCCCUCCUCCUCCCAGCACAGAGCUCUGACCCUGAUGUGCCACAUCCCUCAUUUACUAGAUCUGUGACCUUUCAUCUCUCCGUGCCCCGAUUUAUUCAUCUGUGAAAAGGAGCUAAGGAGAUCCCCCUAUUCAUGGGCCUGCAGGGAAGAGAUAUUGAGUUAAUACUGGUGAAGUGCUUAGGACAGGUCUGGACACUUAAUAAUUGUAGCUCCUAUUCCGUUCAGUUCAGUUCAGUAGCUCAGUCGUGUCCAACAGACUCUUUGUGACCCCAUGGACUGCAGCAUACCAGGCUUCCCUGUCCAUCACCAACUCCCAGAGCUUGCUCAAACUCAUGUCCGUUGAGUCGGUGACGCCAUCCAACAAUCUCAUCUUAUUAUCCUCAAUAAAUUGCAGCUCCUAUUACCUGAUUGGUCCACAAAGUCUGCCCACUCCAUCUCUUCUACAUCACUUCCGUCUCCUCUACUGCGGUGCUGGUCCAACCUCUCCUUGAGGCGCUGCCAAGGCUUCUUGCUGGCUUUGCUGCCCCUGUUCU